AACCGAUUGGCACUGCCCAUCUGUAUUCCAAAAGGAAAAACAUGAAAUAAAAAAAUAAGGAAAAAAAGGAACCAUACUAAAACAUGCAGACUUGAGGGCAUUGUCAGAGUCCUUUUAGCAUAUGUGUUUAUUUAUACCGCUUAUACAUUUGAACAAUAGACACUUCAAGUAAUAAUAGACAUAUGCCAAGACCAGACUGACAAAACAAAACAAAACAAAAUGGAUCCACUGAUACAUUUGAACAAUAUAACUUAUAUUUAACAUGCUUCGCCAGUUAGGAAGGAAUGUAGAAUUCUCACAACUUCUGACUAUCAACUAAAGAAAUUCUUUUGGUUUCCAUGGUCUUGAACAAAAUGCAAGGCUGUUCACAUUGAAGAAAAUAAAAAGGCAAAUUCAAUUUCACAUGCAGCAAAACACCAUCUUAAGAUAUAACAGGCCUCCUUUUUCUUUUACAUCCAAAAGAGAAGAUGCUGUAUUACCUGUCCAGAUCAAGGAUAGGGAUG
rnacentral:misc_RNA from 1 species